GACAAAAGAUGUCUUAACAAUGUCAGUAGAAUGCUUUAUGGGAAUGCUGUGGCUUUCUGGUAGGAAAUCAUGUGACCUCCUCGGCCAAGGUUUUGUUAUGGUGCCAGGAGGGAGAGAACGAGAGAGGGAGUGAAGGGGGAAACUUGGAAUGCGAUGCCAGCAAAGGGUUUUUAUUCUUUCUUUUUGGGGCUUUCUUUCAUUCUUGUGUUUGCUGAGAAAAUGGCGGACGGUGUGGAGCUGAAAUGAACCCGACUUGCCAAUGGAGCUGGGCACAAUAACACAACUCAACUUUAGUAUUUUUAAAUACAUUUUUUAGCAUGGCACCCAUGUCACAUAGCUUUUUGAUUCCUGAUAAAUCCUGCUUCCUAUCUGUCUGUCUCCGGCUGGGUACAAAAGAGAGGUCUGAACAAUCCAAAUCAAGUAGAGAUGAUGAAUGUCAAAUGGUUAGUAGAAAUCUGGAGUGAGAAAUGACCAUGGGUGACUCCUUACCCUGAAAGGCACACGAUCAACAAGACCGAAGAGGAGGAGGAGGUAGCGGAGGUGUAGGGGAGGGGGUGGCAGAAGGGAGGCUGUUCCUCAGACGGCGCAGAGCGCUCUCUUCUCGUCUCCCCUCAUCAUUGGUAUGCAGUGACUGUUCCCCAGGCGACAGGGCCACUGGGUUGGGGCUAAACUGACUGCAGGAGAGUCAGGUCUACAAAGUAAAUGAGAGGAGAGCAAGACAGCAGGUAAGGGUAAUGAGAACAGGCAGAGAGAGGGAGGGAGGAGGACAAGAGAAAGGCGGAAGGGAAGCUAGAUGUCCCAAGGGGCUUUUGGGGUGAGGCACCGCCUGACCCCUCACACUCCGUACACUGUCCAGGCCCACACACAUACACACACACAUAUUAAUGCUUAAACUCCUGACCAGAUACAUUAUGUUCAAGUGCACAUCAUGUAUCCAAAAAACAAUAACAUAUCAGUUAGGCUAAUGUUUUUUUUGUAAGAGCUUUUAUGACUAUAUAGUGAUAAUGUAAUGUUUCUUGAGAUGCGUGCAUAUGAUUUCCUCAAAUAUUUGUAUUUUAUUAUGUUAUUCCAUAAAACAUGAAUCUAUAAAAAUAUAUUUGAAUAUAUUUGUAAUGAAAGCAAAUGAUGGAAUGCAAAUAGUGUAAAAUGUCAUUACAAAUUUAAAGAAGUGUGAAAAUAAACUGAUGAAUAUUACA